AACGAACGCUGGCGGCAGGCCUAACACAUGCAAGUCGAGCGGACCUUUCGGGGUCAGCGGCGGACGGGUGAGUAACGCGUGGGAAUAUGCCCUUCUCUACGGAAUAGUCCUGGGAAACUGGGGGUAAUACCGUAUACGCCCUUUGGGGGAAAGAUUUAUCGGGGAAGGACUAGCCCGCGUUGGAUUGGGUAGUGGGUGGGGUAAUGGCCUACCAAGCCGACGAUCCAUAGCUGGUUUGAGAGGAUGAUCAGCCACACUGGGACUGAGACACGGCCCAGACUCCUACGGGAGGCAGCAGUGGGGAAUCUUAGACAAUGGGGGCAACCCUGAUCUAGCCAUGCCGCGUGAGUGAUGAAGGCCUUAGGGUUGUAAAGCUCUUUCAGCUGGGAAGGUAAUGACGGUACCAGCAGAAGAAGCCCCGGCUAACUCCGUGCCAGCCGCCGCCGUAAAAC
rnacentral:rRNA from 1 species